rnacentral:tRNA from 1 species
GCCGUGUUACCUUAGUGGGGAGGAGGGGCAGUCUUGAAAACUGUUGGCCGCGAGAGCGGUCUGGGAGUUCGAAUCUCUCACACGGCGCCA